rnacentral:rRNA from 1 species
AUACGUAGGUGACAAGCGUUAUCCGGAUUUACUGGGUGUAAAGGGGGUGUAGGCGGUUUAGCAAGUCAGAAGUGAAAUUCCCGGGCUUAACUUGGGCGCUGCUUCUGAAACUGCUUUACUUGAGUGCUGGAGAGGAUAGUGGGAUUCUUAAUGUAGCGGUAAAAUGCGCAGAUAUUAGGAGGAACACCGGUGGCGAAGGCGGCUAUCUGGACAGUAACUGACGCUGAGGCGCGAAAGCACGGGGAGCAAACAGGAUUAGAUACCCUGGUAGUCCGUGCCGUAAACGAUGAAUACUAGGUGUAGGGGGUAUCGACUCCCUCUGUGCCGCAGUUAACACAAUAAGUAUUCCGCCUGGGGAGUACGGCCGCAAGGUUGAAACUCAAAGGAAUUGACGGGG